rnacentral:rRNA from 1 species
GUGGGGAAUUUUGGACAAUGGGGGCAACCCUGAUCCAGCCAUGCCGCGUGCGGGAAGAAGGCCUUCGGGUCGUAAACCGCUUUUGUCAGGGAAGAAAUCCUGUGGGUUAAUACCUCGGAGGGAUGACGGUACCUGAAGAAUAAGCACCGGCUAACUACGUGCCAGCAGCCGCGGUAAUACGUAGGGUGCGAGCGUUAAUCGGAAUUACUGGGCGUAAAGCGUGCGCAGGCGGUUUUGUAAGAUCGAUGUGAAAUCCCCGGGCUCAACCUGGGAACUGCAUUGGUGACUGCAAGGCUGGAGUGCGGCAGAGGGGGAUGGAAUUCCGCGUGUAGCAGUGAAAUGCGUAGAUAUGCGGAGGAACACCGAUGGCGAAGGCAAUCCCCUGGGCCUGCACUGACGCUCAUGCACGAAAGCGUGGGGAGCAAACAGGAUUAGAAACCCUUGUAGUCC